UUUUAUGGAUGAGCAAAGGAAGUGGCUUCUUGAGAUGGAAUCUAAUCCUGGUGAAGAUGCUUAAAGA
rnacentral:pre_miRNA from 1 species